AGAGCUCAAAUUUAAAAUCUGGCAGUCUCUGGCUGUCCGAGUUGUAAACUAGAGAAGUGUUAUCCGUGCUGGACCAUGUAUAAGUCUCCUGGAACGGAGCGUCACAGAGGGUGAGAAUCCCGUCUUUGACAUGGACUACCAGUGCAUUGUGAUGCGCUCUCAAAGAGUCGAGUUGUUUGGGAAUGCAGCUCAAAAUGGGUGGUAAAUUCCAUCUAAAGCUAAAUAUUGGCGAGAGACCGAUAGCGAA
rnacentral:rRNA from 1 species